UACGUAGGGGGCAAGCGUUGUCCGGAAUCAUUGGGCGUAAAGAGCUCGUAGGUGGCCUGUCGCGUCGGCUGUGAAAACUCGGGGCUCAACUCCGAGCUUGCAGUGGGUACGGGCAGACUAGAGUGUGGUAGGGGAGACUGGAAUUCCUGGUGUAGCGGUGAAAUGCGCAGAUAUCAGGAGGAACACCGAUGGCGAAGGCAGGUCUCUGGGCCACUACUGACGUGAGAAGCGAAAGCAUGGGGAGCGAACAGG
rnacentral:rRNA from 1 species